UACGAAGGGGGCUAGCGUUGCUCGGAAUCACUGGGCGUAAAGGGUGCGUAGGCGGGUUUUAAGUCAGGGUGAAAUCCUGGAGCUCAACUCCAGAACUGCCUUUGAUACUGAAGAUCUUGAGUUCGGGAGAGGUGAGUGGAACUGCGAGUGUAGAGGUGAAAUUCGUAGAUAUUCGCAAGAACACCAGUGGCGAAGGCGGCUCACUGGCCCGAUACUGACGCUGAGGCACGGAAAGCGUGGGGAGCAAACAGG
rnacentral:rRNA from 1 species